ACAGAUGGCGCGGGGUGCCGAUAACACGGCUGAGAAAUACCCGUCGAACUUGAACUGGGCCUACCAGAGUAAGAACUCCUUCAAAAAUCCUC
rnacentral:ncRNA from 1 species